UUUCCGUAGGUGAACCUGCGGAAGGAUCAUUCACAAUACUUGUAUUAUGGCUCUUUUGAAACAAUCCAUAUAAACCUUGAAUGGAACGUUAUGAGACCCGCUAUCGGUAUGUUUUAGGUUACGGAUUGGGGAACCUCUACACCUUACCAACAUCACCUUUAACUUAUUUGUCUGGACAUUUGUUAUCACAAAUUAACUAAAUUCGAAAAUACAACUUCCAACAACGGAUCUGAUGGCAGUCGCAUCGAUGAAGAACGCAGUAAACCGGAGUAGCACACG
rnacentral:misc_RNA from 1 species